rnacentral:tRNA from 1 species
GCAGUGGUGGUUCAGUGGUAGAAUUCUUGCCUUCCAUGCGGGAGACCCAGGUUUGAUUCCUGGCCAAUGCA